UAACUGUCUGUCUUACUAUCUAGUCCUCAUGUAUGUCUCUCUGUCCGUCUAACUGCGCAUCUGCCUGUCCGUCUCACUAUCUAACUACCUUCCUGUGUGUCUCUCUGUCCUCCUAACGGUCUGCCUGUCUGUCUGUAGUCUUGGUGGCCAUAGUGGGGCUGCUGGUGACCAUGAUUGUGGCCAUUAUACUGCUCAUCGUUGUGCUCCUUGUUAAGAGGGCCAAGUCUGCAGAUUCGGACAUAAGCCAGGUUCUACCCUCCAUGGAUACAGCAGCUGCCGGGCCAUGAGUGUUGCCUGACCGAUGGGCAGGAAGAACUCCGCAAACCAAACCACCUGAUUUCCCAAGCAAGAAAGCACACUUCUGGAAAUAUGUGAAGAAGCGAAACCAGUAGAUCUUAUUGGCAAAUGCUCAAUAAAUGGAUAAAUCACAUUUUAAA